GGCUAUCCUUGCCUAAUUACCGAAAAAUAAAUAAUUAGAUAAAUAAAUUUCGAAAAUUAAUAGAUAAAUAUGAUAAAUCCAAUUUAGGCCCGUAAUGCCUAAUUGAAGCCCGAUAAGGGUCGAGAAAAAUCCCGAGAUGCAUUCAAUAAAUAGUAUAUGCAGUUCUCUAGCUAAGUACACUAACCACCUAACUAAUAUGUAAUGCAAUUGACUAAUAAUCAUUAAUCCAUUCUAAUCUAACCACCUAAUUGCAAUUAAUUAAAUCUAAUCAACCCUUAAGCAUCAUUAGUCUACUAAGCAAGAAUUAGUGAGAUUACUCACUUCGUUAAAAGUGGAGACCGAAUCACCGCAACGGCGGCGCAACGGCAGCCGAACUUGGGCUCGCAACGACACCAACGAGCUUGGACCAGGCCAAGAAACCUUGCAAGCCCACAACAAUUGCUGGGCUUAGACUGAACGGGCUUGGGCUUGCUGAAAACAGAAACUUGCUGGGCCUCACUGAAUUGGGCUCGCCAAAGUUGGGCUGCUGAAAAUGGGCUGACUUGCGGGUUUUUUUUUCUGGAAUGGGCUGAAGACUCAAUUGAUGGGCUGCUGAUGGACUUUGUUGGGCCCAAAAUUCAGGGAGAUGUUGGGCCCGUGGAUUUCAAAUGGACUGGAGCUCACUGGGCCGUUGCUUCGGUGGCAGAGGAGAAGCGGUGGAGGUGGCUUCGAUCAAGUGAAACCAGUGAAGGUGGAAGAUGCUGGCAGCAAGCGGACGAGUGGCAGUCAAACUCGGUAGAGACGCACGGCAGGGGAUGAAGCAGCU
rnacentral:lncRNA from 1 species